AUUGAACGCUGGCGGCAGGCCUAACACAUGCAAGUCGAGCGGAGCGGCGGACGGGUGAGUAAUGCCUAGGAAUCUGCCUGGUAGUGGGGGAUAAAGUCCGGAAACGGGCGCUAAUACCGCAUACUAUCAGAUGAGCCUAGGUCGGAUUAGCUAGGGGGGGGGGAAAAGGCCUACCAAGGCGACGCGCAGUAACAGGUCUGAGAGGCGGAACAGUCACACUGGAACUGCGACACGGUCUACACGCCUACGGGAGGCAGCAGUGGGGAAUAUGGGACAAGGGGAGAAAGCCUGAUCCAGCCAUGCCGCUUGUGUGAAGAAGGUCUUAGGAUUGUAAAGCACUGUAAGUUGGGAGGCGUUACCAACAUAAUAAGGACCGGCUAACUUCGUGCCAGCAGCCGCGGUAAUUC
rnacentral:rRNA from 1 species